GCAGCCCGAGCCCGUUGCUCCUUGUUCUGUCCUCUGCCCGCACUGGGAGCGGUCCAGCUCCAUCCUCUUGGCGCUGUACUAUUAAUCCGAAUAGGGAAGGAUUCAGCUGGCUUGGAAGAAGUGGAGUUGAUUGCCAACAUCUUCCUCUUCAGUGGGCUAUUCAAUUCCCUGCUCACUUCUCCAGACUCAGGAAUGACAGCCUCUCCUCACACGUGCACGUCCGAGAUUGGCAGCGGAGCUGCUGCAAAAAGCGCCGCCGACACGAUGGGUGGCGGAUGGAUGCCGGGGCAGAGGAGCUGUGCCCCUGAAUUUAUCGAGUCUCUGAUUCAUGCUCAAACAUGUCCUUUAUUAAUGACCGUAAUCCUUUGCAUUGCAGUGCCUUUUUGAAGGAAGGGCACGAUUUAAAAACGAAAGAGAGGACUUCUGCGACCACCGUCACCGCCACCUGAAUUCAGCACCAAAUAACAGUGGAGAAUCAGAAGCUGGGAAAACAUACCGUCAACGUGUGCUGCAGGAGUGAUUGAGCUAGGCAUUUAUCUGAAUUGCCGCUUCACUGAUGUACCUCGCCUGAGAAAUAUUACCAAACAUUUUCAGUGGGGAACAAGCAGUCGUGCACCUCAAGGAAGAUGCAGAGAGUGACACAGUGGCCCCUCAUACUCGGCGGAGACACAGUCUUCGUUCUGAUUCAGAGGGGAGUGCUUCUAAGCCACCCGCACAACUUACCCUGGACACAACAUACCCAUUAACUGGCCUUGCAUCAGAAGACAUUAUAUUCAGUGCCAAAAUUAACUGUUUCAUCCAAACGUAAUACCUCUCGCUUUGUGUUUUUGGAAACUUCAUGAAAGAAAGAAAAAAAGAGAUUGAUGAUCACAGAACAAAAAAUAACGUUUUGUAAUCCUAACAAAACAAAUACCAGUUUUUCUGGUUUCCAGAAUAAAUGCUGCUUCUGUGCCUCUGUCUCAUAGUCUAUCCUAUGUUUUGGCACGUUCACUUUUUUGGAGGAUUCGUACAAAGGGUCCUAGUGGCAUUCAUCAUGGAGGGUGGACAGGACUCAGUUCAUACAGUAAAGAAGGCCGUGGCAUCAUUUGUUGCAGGAUUCAGAAGGUACGUGAUGAAUGAGAUGGAGGAUUGGAAAGACAGAAAGGGAAGCCCUGAAAGAAAGCAGCUGAGUGCCAACAUGAACAAGUUCUGUGCAUUGCUAAAUGAGUCCCACAAAUCAUACUUUUCCCAGGGCUUGUUGUGUGCUCCUCAUUUUCUGAAUGCUUGACUUGGGACCCUGUGUUCUGGCCGCAGAAAUGUUGCGUGCUCACAGCUGCAUUCAAAAGGCAAGAAGCAUAUACAUUUCUAUAUAAUGUUGAAUACUCUGGGGAAAAAAAUCAGGUCCUGAGUGUUUCAAUUUGGGCACUCAAAAUCUGUGGGAACUUUGUGCCUCAGUUCCCCGUUAGUAAAACGAGUAUGUUGAUAAACGCCCCCCCUCGCAGGGUAAAUGAUGAGAAUGAAUGAUUGUUUAUACAGCAGUGAGAUGUUACAGUGAUGAACCCCCUGUGAUGAAAAGUUCAGGAUGAAAAUAAUCAAUCUGUCUCUAAAGAAGGGGUAGGAUAGUGACAUAAAAAAGACACAAGACUUUGUCUGAACAACGAGGUUACAACAGAAUGUAGAAUACCUGUUCAUUCAGUGAGCACCUGUACAGCUGGCAUUUGAAUAAGACAUGAGUCCUAUGGAAAACAAUGGCAUGUGAACAUGUAAUGAAAGACUAUCAUCAUGCAUCCGCCUGAGGGAGCCGAAUUAAAACGUGUACAUACAGUGAUCCUGGCACUUUCUAAUUUUUGAGUGCUUGUAUUUGCAUCUUCAAUAUUCUUUUAGCAUAUGGUUUGUGCCUAAUAUAAAAUUGGGUGUUUAAGCUGUCUUGCUGAAUCAUGCUGACAUCAGAGCCGGAAAUCAUGAAUAUCUGACAUUGGAAAAAUAUCCAAGGGCUAAUUCAGUGUGCUCUGUCUUUCUACUUUCAUCUUGUAUAAAGAGAAACUGCAUAAGAGAAUUAAUUAUUUUAAUGCUGUACUAUGAAUAUUGUGAUGUUUGUUAGCUAGGUAACCUCAGUUAAAAUUUGCAACUUUUAAGAGUUUGCUUAAUUAUAACGUACAGCAGCAAAAUAUGUAUUUAUCAUCACUACUUUCUUCACAGAACUAUAUAAAUGAGUAUAGUUUACAUACGUAAUACCUACAACGUGAAUGCACUUGUCUGAGAGCUUUCCCACCCCUUAUUUCACUGACAGCCGUUGAGAUAAAUUCUUCUGAAAUGUCAGAAUCCCUAGAAUACAUGUGAACCGAUGAGGUAUGGCACCCGCUCAUCCUGUUACAUGAAUAAACCUGCUAAAUCAUCCCCCUGCA
ensembl:lncRNA